rnacentral:lncRNA from 1 species
AAUAUAAAUAUGAGGCAUCUCUGAUACCACCGUAACAGCUGGCUAUUGAAUUUGUGAUCAGAGAUGGCACAAAGAAGUUGGUGGUAGCAUAUGGCAAAAGGCUUCAGUGAAGAGAUAUGUUAUAGUCCAGAUAAAAAAAUAUUAUUGAAGGAGUCAGUAUGUUGGUGCAUUGAGAUUAGUGCUUUGAAACUUUUUGGUGUGAUUGCUGAU